rnacentral:rRNA from 1 species
CAGUAGCCGCGGUAAUACGAAGGUCCCGAGCGUUGUUCGGAAUCACUGGGCGUAAAGGGAGCGUAGGCGGCGUGGUAAGUCAGAUGUGAAAUCCCGGGGCUCAACCCCGGAACUGCAUCCGAUACUGCCAUGCUAGAGGAUUGGAGAGGUAGCUGGAAUUCUUGGUGUAGCAGUGAAAUGCGUGGAGAUCAAGAGGAACACUCGUGGCGAAAGCGAGCUACAGGACAAUAACUGACGCUGAGGCUCGAAGGCCAGGGUAGCGAAAGGGAUUAGAGACCCCCGUAGUCCCUGUCUCUUAUAC